CCAAGAAUCAAUUUAACCAUCUUCACAGGCUCACGCAAGGCAAACGAGAGAUAGAGCAUAGAGCAUAGAGCAUCAUCAACCUGCUAACCGCAAACUGGAUGGACGGAAAAGUCGAGGAAAAACUAGGAGACCACACACGCAUGCAGUGCUACAAAUGAGACAACACCUGUCCAGGAGAUCCUGGAUAUGGAACGGCAUGGUAUGGGAUUGCCAAUGGGAAUGGGAAUGGGAAUGGGAAUGGAGGCGAUGGCAAAGGUAAAGGCAAAGACAAGGCAACCAGAGACUCGGUUGGCAAGGCUCAAGUGGUUGGAGGAGAGCUUGGCAGGAACUUUGGCCCACAUUGACGUGCCGACUGAGCCAACGAAGAACCGACUGGCUGGCUGGCUGACUGACUGACAUUUGAAUUACAAGCGGUGAAAGCUGUGGAAAUGGUUGGUGUUGAGGGGAAAAUGGGGAUAUACU
ensembl:ncRNA lncRNA:CR43769 long non-coding RNA:CR43769